CCCAUCAUGCAGACAUUUUAUCAUCUUACAGCAUCUCAAGAAGAAAGUUCCUUGACUCUGAAUUCCUUGAGGAUGUGGUAACCAUGCUACUCAUCUACAUUACCCUCAAUGCCUAGUAAAGUGCUUAGCAGGUAAUUAAUGCUGUGAAAGCAAAAAUUACAUCCAGUGAGUCAAACAGGCAAGAAGACUUUAUUUGAAGCUAUUGCAAUAGAAGAGAAGCCAAACUUCAGUCUGAGCUCAACUCUGCUGAAACAAAAGUUUGGAGAGCUCUUAAGAGCUGGCUGGAGGGAUUGCAGAGAACUGAGAUAAAAGAGCCAACUAUCUCCUUUAAGUCUGGAGAGAUAGGAGCAUCCAGAAUCAUAGCUGAGAUCUGCUUACCUGGAACAGAAGUCACUGGAAGCACAAACUGGCAUCGUUCUCCAGACCAUUCUUCAAUAAACCUCC